UUUGAAAAGAGUAACACAAGAAGAAGGAAUUUGAAAAGAGUAACACAGAAGAAGGUAUUGAAAAGAGUAACACAGAAGAAGGUAUUGAAAAGAGUAACACAGAAGAAGGUAUUGAAAAGAGUAACACAGAAGAAGGUAUUGAAAAGAGUAACACAGAAGAAGGUAUUGAAAAGAGUUACACAGAAGAAGGUAUUGAAAAGAGUUACACAGAAGAAGGUAUUGAAAAGAGUAACACAGAAGAAGGUAUUGAAAAGAGUAACACAGAAGAAGGUAUUGAAAAGAGUUACACAGAAGAAGGUAUUGAAAAGAGUUACACAGAAGAAGGAAUUUGAAAAGAGUAACACAAGAAGAAGGAAUUUGAAGAUAAAUAACACAAGAAGAAGAAAUGUGAAGUAACACCGGAAGGAAAAUGCAGAGAAGUAACACUAGAAAAAUGAAAAUGGAAAUGAAAAGAAUCAUCCACCUUUCGGCCCAAACCAACAUCACAAAAUUAUGGGCGAGUCUCUUCUGGGAGGAAAGCGGCUCGUUCAGACCCAGGAACACCAGAAAGGAUGAUAGAAACAUCAAGAAAAGGAAAACAGAAAAGUCAUCCACCUUUCGGCCCCUGGGGCCGCAGGGUGGGUGACGGGUGAAUCUCCUCUGGGGAGAAGGAGGCUAACCCACACAGUCAAGAUAGAG